AAGUCGUAACAAGGUUUCCGUAGGUGAACCUGCGGAAGGAUCAUUACCGAGUGGCUUGGCGUCCUGCGAAAGCGGGGUAGCGCCGGUUACCCGACCUUCAUGUCAUCAGCACCGGACUUGUCGAGUUUGGACUUUGUUUCUUUUGGAAGCGAAGGCGAGGACGACGAGGAUGGAAUAUAUAUUUCGGCGGAGGUGGUAGGCGUCUCCUUCUUCGGGAGGAGGAUGACCUGCCCGCCGCCGGUGGGAUUUCCAACUCUUUGUGAGCAAGUAUGAAGUCUGAUUGAAACAAGAAUCAAAACAAAGCAAAACUUUCAACAACGGAUCUCUUGGCUCUG
rnacentral:misc_RNA from 1 species